AAACNAUUCNUUUAGAGGNUNACUGGUGAUUCAUGAUAACUCCUCGAAUCGCAUGGCCUUGUGCCGGCGAUGGUUCAUUCAAAUUUCUUCCCUAUCAACUUUCGAUGUUUGGGUAUUGGCCAAACAUGGUUGCAACGGGUAACGGAGGGUUAGGGCUCGACCCCGGAGAAGGAGCCUGAGAAACGGCUACUACAUCCAAGGAAGGCAGCAGGCGCGCAAAUUACCCAAUCCCGACACGGGGAGGUAGUGACAAUAAAUACUGAUACAGGGCUCUUUUGGGUCUUGUAAUUGGAAUGAGUACAAUUUAAAUCCCUUAACGAGGAACAAUUGGAGGGCAAGUCUGGUGCCAGCAGCCGCGGUAAUUCCAGCUCCAAUAGCGUAUAUUAAAGUUGUUGUGGUUAAAAAGCUCGUAGUUGAACCUUGGGCCUGGCCGUCCGGUCCGCCUCACCGCGUGUACUGGCUCGGCCGGGCCUUUCCCUCUGUGGAACCCCAUGCCCUUCACUGGGCGUGGCGGGGAAACAGGACUUUUACUGUGAAAAAAUUAGAGUGCUCCAGGCAGGCCUAUGCUCGAAUACAUUAGCAUGGAAUAAUAGAAUAGGACGUGUGGUUCUAUUUUGUUGGUUUCUAGGACCGCCGUAAUGAUUAAUAGGGACAGUCGGGGGCAUCAGUAUUCAAUUGUCAGAGGUGAAAUUCUUGGAUUUAUUGAAGACUAACUACUGCGAAAGCAUUUGCCAAGGAUGUUUUCAUUAAUCANGAAC
rnacentral:rRNA from 1 species